CCCCUAGACGUUCUGGGCUGCACGCGCGCUACACUGACGCACGCAACAGGUGCCUGCUCCGAGAGGACUGGGUAAUCAUUUGAGUGUGCGUCGUGAUGGGGAUAGAAUAUUGUAAUUAUUACUCUUCAACGAGGAAUUCCUAGUAAGCGCCAGUCAGCAGCUUGCGCUGAUUACGUCCCUGCCCUUUGUACACACCGCCCGUCGCUCCUACCGAUGGGUGAUCCGGUGAAUGAUUCGGACUUCAGCGGCUCCCCUGGGGUGCGCCGGAGAAAGUUUUGUGAACCUUAUCACUUGGAGGAAGGAGAAGUCGUAACA
rnacentral:rRNA from 1 species